ACCAGGAGGAAGACCACUUUCCUCCCGAGAGCCGACGGGGCCAGCUGGGAUACUCCGGGACGCCUGAGACAGGCGCUGGGCGGGGUCUCGCCCGGUUCGCGGAACGCCGGGAAGGGGUCACUUCCAGAUGAAGGGGUCACUUCCAGAUGAAGGUUCCGGUUCCGGUGUCGGCGGCUGUCGGAUUGCCAUGGCAACCCGGCUGGCUGGCGCGUGGUGCCAGCAUCCAGGGAGGUGGUGGGACUAGGGCAAACCGGCGUGCCCCUCUGCCAGCCUAGAUUCAUUGAUUCCAGGUAAAUCAGAGGAACAAGCAUCUUGAACAGAAAUAUAUAGAAAAUGCUGUUAUGCUGAAGCAUAACUUGUUUCAGAAGUCCAGCAUCUGGUGUACUUAACAAUAGAGCAUCUAUUAAAUUGUUUCCAAAAUCA